rnacentral:rRNA from 1 species
UGGGGAAUUUUGGACAAUGGGGGAAACCCUGAUCCAGCCAUCCCGCGUGUGCGAUGAAGGCCUUCGGGUUGUAAAGCACUUUUGGCAGGAAAGAAACGUCAUGGGUUAAUACCCCGUGAAACUGACGGUACCUGCAGAAUAAGCACCGGCUAACUACGUGCCAGCAGCCGCGGUAAUACGUAGGGUGCAAGCGUUAAUCGGAAUUACUGGGCGUAAAGCGUGCGCAGGCGGUUCGGAAAGAAAGAUGUGAAAUCCCAGAGCUCAACUUUGGAACUGCAUUUUUAACUACCGGGCUAGAGUGUGUCAGAGGGAGGUGGAAUUCCGCGUGUAGCAGUGAAAUGCGUAGAUAUGCGGAGGAACACCGAUGGCGAAGGCAGCCUCCUGGGAUAACACUGACGCUCAUGCACGAAAGCGUGGGGAGCAAACAGA